UGACGGUACCUAACUAAGAAGCACCGGCUAAAUACGUGCCAGCAGCCGCGGUAAUACGUAUGGUGCAAGCGUUAUCCGGAUUUACUGGGUGUAAAGGGAGCGUAGGUGGUUUGGCAAGCCAGAAGUGAAAACCCGGGGCUCAACCCCGUGGAUUGCUUUUGGAACUGUUGAACUAGAGUGCAGGAGGGGUAAGUGGAAUUCCCAGUGUAGCGGUGAAAUGCGUAGAUAUUGGGAAGAACACCGGUGGCGAAGGCGGCUUACUGGACUGUAACUGACACUGAGGCUCGAAAGCGUGGGGAGCAAACAGGAUUAGAUACCCUG
rnacentral:rRNA from 1 species